UACGAAGGGUGCAAGCGUUACUCGGAAUCACUGGGCGUAAAGCGUGCGUAGGCGGUUGGUUAAGUCUGCUGUGAAAGCCCUGGGCUCAACCUGGGAACUGCAGUGGAUACUGGCUAGCUAGAGUGUGAUAGAGGAUGGUGGAAUUCCCGGUGUAGCGGUGAAAUGCGUAGAGAUCGGGAAGAACACCAGUGGCGAAGGCGGCUCACUGGUCCGGUACUGACGCUGAGGUGCGAAAGCGUGGGGAGCAAACAGG
rnacentral:rRNA from 1 species